rnacentral:rRNA from 1 species
CUUCGGUCGAUUUAAUUUAAUUCUAGUGGCGGACGGGUGAGUAACGCGUGGGUAACCUGCCUUAUACAGGGGGAUAACAGUCAGAAAUGGCUGCUAAUACCGCAUAAGCGCACAGAGCUGCAUGGCUCAGUGUGAAAAACUCCGGUGGUAUAAGAUGGACCCGCGUUGGAUUAGCUAGUUGGUGGGGUAACGGCCCACCAAGGCGACGAUCCAUAGCCGGCCUGAGAGGGUGAACGGCCACAUUGGGACUGAGACACGGCCCAGACUCCUACGGGAGGCAGCAGUGGGGAAUAUUGCACAAUGGGGGAAACCCUGAUGCAGCGACGCCGCGUGAAGGAAGAAGUAUCUCGGUAUGUAAACUUCUAUCAGCAGGGAAGAUAGUGACGGUACCUGACUAAGAAGCCCCGGCUAACUACGUGCCAGCAGCCGCGGUAAUACGUAGGGGGCAAGCGUUAUCCGGAUUUACUGGGUGUAAAGGGAGCGUAGACGGUGUGGCAAGUCUGAUGUGAAAGGCAUGGGCUCAACCUGUGGACUGCAUUGGAAACUGUCAUACUUGAGUGCCGGAGGGGUAAGCGGAAUUCCUAGUGUAGCGGUGAAAUGCGUAGAUAUUAGGAGGAACACCAGUGGCGAA